CCUACGGGUGGCAGCAGUCGAGAAUCUUUCACAAUGGGGGCAACCCUGAUGGAGCGACGCCGCGUGGAGGAUAAGGUCUUCGGAUUGUAAACUCCUGUCAUGCGAGAGCUAGUAUCGCAAGAGGAAGAGACGGCUAACUCUGUGCCAGCAGCCGCGGUAAUACAGAGGUCUCAAGCGUUGUUCGGAAUCACUGGGCGUAAAGGGUGCGUAGGCGGCGUGGAAAGUCAGAUGUGAAAUCUGGGGGCUCAACCUCCAAAUAGCAUCCGAUACUCCCAUGCUUGAGAAAUGGAGGGGGAUCUGGAAUUCUCGGUGUAGCAGUGAAAUGCGUAGAUAUCGAGAGGAACACUAGUGGCGAAGGCGAGAUCCUGAAUUUUCUGACGCUGAGGCACGAAGGCUAGGGGAGCAAACGGGAUUAGAUACCCUUGUAGUC
rnacentral:rRNA from 1 species